GGGCUCGUGGUCUAGUGGUAAUGACGCUUCCCUUACAAGGAAGAGGUCGGCGGUUCGAACCCGCCCGAGCCCA
rnacentral:tRNA from 1 species